rnacentral:rRNA from 1 species
AGUGAACGCUGGCGGUAGGCCUAACACAUGCAAGUCGAACGGCAGCACAGUAAGAGCUUGCUCUUACGGGUGGCGAGUGGCGGACGGGUGAGGAAUACAUCGGAAUCUACUUUUUCGUGGGGGAUAACGUAGGGAAACUUACGCUAAUACCGCAUACGACCUACGGGUGAAAGCAGGGGAUCUUCGGACCUUGCGCGAUUGAAUGAGCCGAUGUCGGAUUAGCUAGUUGGCGGGGUAAAGGCCCACCAAGGCGACGAUCCGUAGCUGGUCUGUGAGGAUGAUCAGCCAGACUGGAACUGAGACACGGUCCAGACUCCUACGGGAGGCAGCAGUGGGGAAUAUUGGACAAUGGGCGCAAGCCUGAUCCAGCCAUACCGCGUGGGUGAAGAAGGCCUUCGGGUUGUAAAGCCCUUUUGUUGGGAAAGAAAAGCAGCAGGUUAAUACCCCGCUGUUCUGACGGUACCCAAAGAAUAAGCACCGGCUAACUUCGUG